CAGCCGCCACGGUAAUACAGAGGGUGCGAGCGUUAAUCGGAUUUACUGGGCGUAAAGCGUGCGUAGGCGGCUUCUUAAGUCGGAUGUGAAAUCCCUGAGCUUAACUUAGGAAUUGCAUUCGAUACUGGGAAGCUAGAGUAUGGGAGAGGAUGGUAGAAUUCCAGGUGUAGCGGUAAAAUGCGUAGAGAUCUGGAGGAAUACCGAUGGCGAAGGCAGCCAUCUGGCCUAAUACUGACGCUGAGGUACGAAAGCAUGGGGAGCAAACAGGAUUAGAUACCCGAGUAGUCCCUGUCUCUUAUAC
rnacentral:rRNA from 1 species